UCCUUGGUGGUGCAGUGGUAAAGACUCUGAGCUCCCAAUGCAGGGGACCUGGGUUCAAUCCCUGGUCAGGGAA
rfam:Ovis aries breed Texel chromosome 2, whole genome shotgun sequence.